rnacentral:rRNA from 1 species
AAACCAACAGGGAUUGCCCCAGUAACGGCGAGUGAAGCGGCAACAGCUCAAAUUUGAAAUCUGGCCCCUAGGGUCCGAGUUGUAAUUUGUAGAGGAUGCUUUUGGUGAGGUGCCGCCCGAGUUCCCUGGAACGGGACGCCACAGAGGGUGAGAGCCCCGUCUGGCUGGCCACCGAGCCUCUGUAAAGCUCCUUCGACGAGUCGAGUAGUUUGGGAAUGCUGCUCAAAAUGGGAGGUAUAUGUCUUCUAAAGCUAAAUAUUGGCCAGAGACCGAUAGCGCACAAGUAGAGUGAUCGAAAGAUGAAAAGCACCUUGAAAAGAGGGUUAAACAGUACGUGAAAUUGUUGAAAGGGAAGCGCUUGUGACCAGACUUGGGCGCGGCGAAUCAUCCGGGGUUCUCUCCGGUGCACUUCGCCGUGUUCAGGCCAGCAUCAGUUCGGCGCGGGGGAAAAAGGCUUCGGGAACGUGGCUGCUCCGGCAGUGUUAUAGCCCGUUGCAUAAUACCCUGCGCUGGACUGAGGACCGCGCAUCUGCAAGGAUGCUGGCGUAAUGGUCACCAGCGAC